rnacentral:rRNA from 1 species
UACAGGGGGUGCAAACGUUGCUCGGAAUCAUUGGGCGUAAAGCGCACGUAGGCGGUCUGUUAUGUCGGAUGUGAAAGCCCUUGGCUCAACUGAGGAAGUGCAUCCGAAACUGGCAGGCUAGAGUACUAAAGAGGAUCGCGGAAUUCCCGGUGUAGAGGUGAAAUUCGUAGAUAUCAAGUGGAACACCAGUGGCGAAGGCGAGUCUCUGGACAUUUCCUGACGCUGAGGCACGAAAGCCAGGGGAGCAAACGGG